GACGAACGCUGGCGGCGUGCCUAAUACAUGCAAGUCGAGCGGACUGAAUGGGAGCUUGCUCUUGUUCGGUCAGCGGCGGACGGGUGAGUAACACGUGGGCAACCUGCCCGCAAGACCGGGAUAACUCCGGGAAACCGGAGCUAAUACCGGAUAACACCGAAGACCGCAUGGUCUUUGGUUGAAAGGCGGCGCAAGCUGCCACUUGCGGAUGGGCCCGCGGCGCAUUAGUUAGUUGGUGAGGUAACGGCUCACCAAGGCGACGAUGCGUAGCCGGCCUGAGAGGGUGACCGGCCACCCUGGGACUGAGACACGGCCCAGACUCCUACGGGAGGCAGCAGUAGGGAAUCUUCCGCAAUAGGCGAAAGCCUGACGGAGCGACGCCGCGUGAGCGAAGAAGGCCUUCGGGUCGUAAAGCUCUGUUGUGAGGGACGAAGGAGCGCCGUUUGAAGAAGGCGGCGCGGUGACGGUACCUCACGAGGAAGCCCCGGCUAACUACGUG
rnacentral:rRNA from 1 species